rnacentral:lncRNA from 1 species
UUUCCGUGAAGCUUUCGCUCAAGCUGGUAAGCACAACGUUCUCCGUGCAUGUCCUUGGUCUAAUUGGGUUCUGGUGUGUGCUGUGUGUGCUCUGCAGCCUGCCUCCGACAUUAACUGUUCACCUGUUCAUUUCUCCCGUGGGCGCUUUUGGUGGUGUGUAUUUCACCUCUGGUUGCGUGGCUGUCUUGUUCACUAAGAAAAUUAAUGCUUAACAUUAUUCGAUUUUUUUUUUUUAAACUUUGGGGACCUCAGAGUUGCCAAGCAUUGAUCAACUCUCUGUAUUCAUCUAAAAGCAAAUGUCAGAAGUUGGGGUGAGUCUUCCUACCGGAUCAUUCUGGGUCAAAAUAAAUUUAAAGAGUUGGAAGGCAGCCCUUCCUGGGAGCCACAGAAGUAGAUAUUUCACACACACACACACACACACACACACACACACACACACACACACACAAACUGUGCGCCUAAAGGAGACACUUGGGAGGCAGAGGCAGGCGGAUCUCUGGGAGUUCAAGGCCAGCCUGGUCUACAGAGUGAAGUUCCAGGCCAGCCAGAGCUAUUUAGAGAGACCUUAAAGGAGACACUCAGGCAUUCGUCGUGCCUGUCAUGACUGCUCAAGUUUUUGGUAGGGAAGACCAGUGGGAAGCUACGGUCUUCUGGGGGAGCAUUGGGUAAAACUGAUUCCAGGGGCCACAGAUGCUUUGAUGAAAAGGGGAAC